ensembl:lncRNA
CAAGAUGUCUGGCUCGCGAUACUAUCCGACAUGGCCGCCAGUGCGGCAUCUUGUCCGGCCUUCCCUCGCACGUCUGCGACAAAGAGUCGAGAGACGUUUAUGUGUCGUCUGCACAGUGACACACUGCGCGUUGAAAUGCUUGUGACGAGGUUCAGAUUGAGACAUUCAGUACGUUGACACGGACAGCAGUAAUGUAAUUAUAGACCGUAUUCUGAAUAAGACGAUAUUCUGAUUAAGGUGUUUACAUGAGUCGCUUUUAGAAUAUUCCUUUCAUGUUCCUGUUUUACGUGUUAUAGAACAUAGAUGGAUUAACGUCACACGUCAUUACGUCCCCGCGUCACGCCGUCCGACGUCCCUCCAGAAUUCCACGUAUCGACAUACAGUUGGUCUUCGUUAUGGGAGCGUAUACAGUUUUGAGUGUUUUUAUUUUAAUUUUAUGAAAUCUUCAAGUGCGGUUAAUUAUUUGUCGUGCUGUACGUGCUAAUAGACGACUGCGUGAAGCCCCGUGCUCUUGUUCGCCGUAAAACGGUCGAGCGCUGCCGUGUGUGUACGUGUCCUGUCUCACAAUGCGGUGAAAACUCCCACACGACGUUAACAGUGUGAUUAAGGUGUGUACGUGUCCGUAACGCACGUCCAUAACGUGACUAAAACAGGAAAUACUCCACACGUCUUAAUUCCGUCUGUGUUUACUCCGAGUAUGACUUUAAUCGGAUUAAGGUCCUCAAUAAUCUCUGUUCACAUGCUAGUUUCUCAAUCAGAGUAUCGUCUUAAUCGGGUUCAUAUCGGAUUGUUGUCCAUGUAAACGUACUGAUUGACAGUAUAAGCACUUAUUAAAUAUGAAGAAACAUGUAUUCAGUCCGUACAGGAUUUCAAUGAGGUUUUUUUUUGCGAUUGUUGCGGCCGAAAAAGCACGCUUUUGCUGCAUUUUUUUUUUUUUACUUCUGAAUUUUUUCGUUUUUUUUUUUUUUGCGGUAUUUGAACUGACAAUAGCAUCGCAAUUGUUCUGCGGGAUUUUUCGCAGUGAUGUUUGUUGGUAAACGAG